GCAGGGGUGGUUCAGUGGUAGAGUUCUCGAUUUCCAUGUGGGAGACCCAGGUUUGAAUCCCAGCUACUGCA
rnacentral:tRNA from 1 species